rnacentral:sRNA from 1 species
UUGUUUUACCUACAACACAGUUGAACAACUAUUGUCGUGUUUAGUUGGUGCUCUCUUAAUAUAGAUCUACUCACUAACUGAAAUAGAAGCACAAGAUAUUCAAUUAAUGUAAAGGAUUACCUAUUUAUUUUUGUGUGUAUAAAUUAUCUGAUUUUUUACUCGGACUGCUACUGAAACUAUACAUCCUACUAGGACUAACACUCGUUACAAGUGAUAGUGGCGAGAGAAUGACUUAAAGUUUUCACCUGCUCUCGAAGUGCUAGACUUUCAUCCUUGAGUUCCUGUAGUGGCCAGGGUGAGAAAUGUGGACCAGAGGAUAACCAGCAUGACGCUGGACAGCUGAGGUGAAAGUGAAGAAGCUGAGAGCCUUAUAGGUUAAACAGAAGAGGAGAUGUCCUCAUGAAACAACAGAAGGUUGCCUCAGUGAAGCAGCAGGUUACACAAAGGAACAAUAGAGGGUUGCCACAGUCAAGCAGCAGGUGAGUGACACAAAA